AGAAUUUAGAAUUUAGAAUUUUAUGUCAUAGCUCAUUGCUGUCAUCAUGUAUUGCUGUCUGUAUGGAAGGGAGACAAUCAGUGCGUUUACAUGGACAACAAUAAUCCACUAUUAACCCGAUUAAGACGAUACUCUGAUUAAGAAACUAGCAUGUAAACAGCAAUUUUUAAUGGCCUUAAUCCGAUUAAGGUCAUACUAGAAGUAAACACAACUCGAAUUAAGACGUGUGGUGUACUCCUGUUUUAGUCGCAUUAUGGACGUGUAUUACAGACACGUACACACCUUAAUCACACUAUUAACGUCGUGCGGGAGUUUUCACCGCAUUUUGCGACAGGACACGUACACACCCGGCAGUGCUCGACCGUUUUACGGCAAACAAGAGAACACGGCUGCGUCCAAAACCCCGUACUUGCCUACUAUAGGCCUGUAGUAAGCGAAAUACAUGUAUCUCGGCUACUAUAUAGAUGUAAGUACGUGGUUUGGGACGCAGCCCACGGCUUCAAGCAGUCGUCUAUUUGCACGUACAGCAUGACAAAUAAUUAACCGCACUUGAAGCGUUCGUAAAGAAUUUAAAUAAAAACAGCCAAAACUGUAUACGGUACCAUAAUGAAGACCAACUGUAUGUCGAUACGUGAAAUUCUGGAGGGAUGUCGGAUGGCGUGGCGACGUAAUGACGUGUGCUGUUAAUCGAUCUAUGUUCUCUAACAUGUAAAACGGGUACAUGAAAGGAAUAUUCUUAAUCACAGUAUUGUCUUACUCAGAGUAAGGUCAAUAAUUAGAUUACAGCUGUCCAUGUAAAUGUAGUCAAUGAUAUAAGAAAUGCGUGUAUUACAUCGAGAGAGAGAAGUAUUACAUGUAGCAUGUUAAAUUGAUUAAAACAUUGAAAGUUACAGGGACCAUGCAUCAAAAGGGGGAAUGAUUGCUGCGUUAAAGCAUUGGUUUCACAAAUUACUCUAAAAAACUGUUUGCGCAACUCAUAACAUGGGUUGAGGUUUGAAGGUAGAGAAGGCUACGUCCCUACGUCCAAACAGGACUCGGACGCGGUAGUGAUAAUGAUAAUCUCCAGUGAUCAUGGCACACCUUUUGUGAGCUAUGCCCUUAAGUAGGUGGGUGAAUAUUUGGGUAUUGACUUAAAGCAGCACUGUGCAUAUCACCCAGCUAGUGCUGGGGUGGUAGAGAGAGGAAAUGGGACACUAAAAAACAGAUUGAGCGAAUGCUGUUCUGAAACAGGCUUAGGAUGGCCUUAACCCCUUUGGGAUACUGAAACUGUACUCUUAGGAGGACUGAACUUCAUUAGUGCGUACUAUAUAACCACGUGACCAGGACAGAGGUUAGAUGACAUGACUUUGUUACCGCACCUCCUUGACCACAGACUACUGUUGCAGGCUAGACACAAAUCAUUAGAUGUCGACCUGCAAAUCCACUCAUACAUACAAACCUAUUCCUAAUCGUACACCCUUCUCCUGGUAUAGGUGGUAUCUGUUAAUAAGCCCUGUCACAGAAAUAAACUCACAAAUCACUGGGACCGUUCCCGACAACUCUGGGGGUCCGGGGGUAGACCCUUAAGCUGGAAAGAUAAACCAAAGCGCGAUAUUGAAGUUUAUUGUGUGGAAGACUUAAUGAUCAAUCACGCCAAUCACAUCAUUGCAGCAGAAAGAGUGCAUGACGCACACACUUUUACACAAAUUUGGUAUUUAGCUGAUCGUGGUGACGGGACUAAGUGCCUAAGGCGACGUGAUUUCUGUAGGUCCCACAUAAGCCCGCAGAGUUCUUUAGUAGACUAUUGCUGCAGAUUGGACGACAGUUAGUAGUUAAAAGCCCGUAUGCCAAGAUAUUGGCCGCCUCUGUAAAGCGUCCUUUAUCACCUUUGGUCAUAAGAAUCAUUGCCAACAGUGCUCCCAUACAAUGUUCACGUCCCCUCACCACGCAGACACAUAAUGGUUAUUCUAUCAUUGAACACAUGCGGUCUGCGAUACGCAACGCUCCACAGACUAGUGAGACGGGGUUUGAUUGGCUGAACUCAGUACUCGGGGGAUGAGGCUCGUGGAUAUUAACCGUCUGUCUACCAAUAGGUGCAAUAAUUCUUCUCGUCUUGCUCAUUUUGCCUUGUAUUGUUUCUCUCGUUCGGAGCAGUCUCUCACGCUCGUUGAAAUCACUAAUGACCAAACGCUGAUGUUGACAAAGACUGAGUACGAUCCCUAUGAUGACCAACCUGACUCGUAUCCUAAACCUGACUGGGUAUCAGAUUCUCCCAGUGACACAGACGAUGACGACCCAUUGACCUCCAUUUCACAUCUAUUGUAAAUAUGCAUUUGACCAUGACGAUUCUCAUUUCACUCUAAAAUGAGCUUGCUUGACGACCGGAUACUUUAUAUCCGCAAAAACAGCCUUAGCGCCUUCAGUAUGUCUGUUUUAUGAUGAAUUCAGUUGAACCGUGAAAGGAUUCUGAAGUUCUGAUGCAUUCACAGCAUAGUAAUUUCUCAUAUUUUGAGAAUUAUGAGAAUCAUAUUUUGUAAUGAUAAAAUGGGGGAAAUGUGAGGGGGAAAUUACUCAUUUUCACUUUGUAAUAAUUUUGUUCAUGUUCUGUUCAUGUUCAUCAGAGGAUUUGAACGGUUUGAACUGCCUCAAACUGCUUCUUACCGGUACACAGAAGUGUGUCGUGCUCUGCGUUUAUAGUAUCUAUAGUAGUGGUUCAGCACAAGCACUUCAGAGCGCUCUCAUUAAUCUAUCCUGCUUUAUUCUAUCCUGUAUUAACCAUCUUUCUGUAAUAAACCUUUUCACCUUCAGAGCACGAGUCUGGGAGUGUUGUUAAAUUUCCACGACAGUGUGAAUGUGUGUGGACGCGUGUCCCCCGCCUUGUGCCCCAAGCUCACUGGGAUAGGCUCCAGGCUCCCCCGCGACCCUGUGUCAGUAGGAUAAGCGGCAUGGAAAAUGAAUGGAUGGAAGGUCUCGGGGUUCGAUUCCCGCCGCUGCCCUGUGUGUGUGGAGUUCGAUUCUCCCCAUGCUGCGGGGGUUUCCUCCGGGUACUCCGGUUUCCUCCCCAAUCCAAAGACAUGCAUGAUUAGCACCCCAUCCAGGGUGUACCCCGCCUUGUGCCCCAAUGCUCCCUGGGAUAGGCUCCAGGUUCCCCACGACCCUGAAGGGUCGGUAAGCGGUAUAGAAGAUAGAUAUAGAAGAUAUAGAAGAUCUUCUAUAUCUAUCGAUAUAGAAGAUACCGCUUACCGGAUGGAUGGAUGUUUGUUUGGCACAAAAACAAGAUCACCUCAUCACCCAAAGAACAUCAUACCCACACCCGCAUACCCGCAUGCUGAUGGCUGCUUCUCUUCAGCUGGAGCUCUAGUCAAACUUGAGGGUAUCAUGGAUAGCUCCAAAAUAGCUAUUUUGGGAGAACACCUGCAGGCCUCUGCUAGACAGCUGAAGACGAAGAAAUAUUUGAUUUCCUAUCAUGAUAGAUGUGUGUACACUUAUGCAACCUGCCUAUUAUAAGUUUUUUCUUUUAUAAAAAUCUUUCUAUUUGCUCUAUCUGACAUGAUAUAUCUUGGUUUCUUUCUUCUUCUUUUUUUUUUAUCUCACAAAAACCUGCAAUUUUAACAGGGGUGUGUACUUACCUCAGUGAAUAACUUCAUUCUAAUUCCACUACAUUAAAAUCUACCUACUUUCUAAUUCUGUCAUCACACAAUGUUGAAUAUACCGUACUUAUAUUCUAAAUCUUUCCUCAAACAUCAAAUAGCUUUAUCUUCGAAAUUCUCCAUCACAUUAUAUUAAAACACACCUACUUCAUAAAGAACUAAACAUGUAACAUCACACGAUGUUAACCAACUAUACUUAACUCCGUAUGUCACUAAAUGACCUAUAUACGUUUUUCCCUUUCAGAGAACUCCUUUCCCUUGAAUAAAUAAAGCAUACUUACACAG